rnacentral:rRNA from 1 species
GUAAGAUCCUUUUUUGUAUAAUUUAAUAUUAGAAUGGAAGAAAGGGAGAGAGUUUGUGAGUAAAAAGGGAUGAAAGCGGGUGUCCGGCUGAAGUUUUAAGAUCAUGAUAGAGUUCCCUAAGCAAAUCUCCUGAAAAAAAUUUGGCGAGGAAGGGGCAACAUCACAUUGAAAAACAUUUUAAUAAGAGCUGGCAUAUCACCAUUUGAUACAUUUAAUGCAGCUGAAAUGAUUGUUCGCAACUCCAUUGGCGGCAACGUAGGAAACCUAGUAUAUGCCUACAGUGUGUUUCGCACGCUGAUGACAGAAGGAACGACGAUUACUCCUGAUUAUUAUCGGAUUAAUCCAGCGGAUGCUGAACAAAUUAAUAAAAAUUAUGAUAUGUAUAUUAUUCCGCUGGCAGAUGCAUUCCGCGAGGAUUUCGUGCCUUCUUUACGGAAAUAUACCCAAUUAAUUAAGAAACUAACCAUUCCGGUUGUUGUGAUUGGUGUUGGUUUGCGGGCUCCGUUUGAACCAAAAUUAAAUGAAGGUUUUCCUUUUGAUGAGGAUGUAAAAGCGUUUGUAAGUGCUGUGCUGGAGAGAUCAAAUAUGAUCGGUGUCCGGGGUGAAAUUACAGCGAAAUACCUUUCCAGAUUAGGCUUCCGUGAAGGCAUUGACCAUACGGUGAUUGGGUGUCCUUCUAUGUAUGCGUUUGGCAGAGAACUGAAGAUAAGAGAAACUAAUAUCACAACAGAAUCUAUGGUGACGGUUAACUCAUCAAGGCUGUCUCCAAAGCAUGUGCUGGACUUUAUUACGAGAAGCAUGAAAGAGUUCCCGAAUCAUUACUUUAUCCCGCAAUGGCGAAAAGAAAUGAUUCUGACGUAUGCGGGUGCGCCUGCGCUAGCGAAGCCUGCUGAUAAUUAUCCGGUCAGCAUGGAAGACCCGGCUUAUCAGAAUGAUAGAGUCCGAUUCUUUUUAAAUGUGCCGACUUGGCUGGAUUUCCUGAGAAAAGCUGAUUUGAGCUUUGGCGCAAGGCUGCAUGGAAAUAUCGCAGCGACGAUUGCCGGUACACCGAGCCUGUUGCUUCCGAAAGAUGCCAGAAUGCGUGAAUUAGCUGAGUACCAUCAAUUAACGCAUGUCAUGGCAAAUGAGAUAACCGAUCAGACAAAACUGUCAGAAUUAAUUGAAACACUUGAUUUUCAUCAGCCUGAGAAACGGCAAGCGCAAAACUUUGACCAUUUCAUCAGCUUCUUGAAUCAAAAUGAAUUAGACCAUAUUUAUAAAGAGAAAGCGAUUCCUGAUACCGUUCCUUUUGACGAAAAACUAUCUAACACGAAGCUUCUUCCGCCUGUGACUACAGUUAGCGGCUGCAGUUCCACAGAAACAGCGAAACGCUGGGAAGCGCUGAUGGCAUUAGAAAAUGCCAAAAAGGAAAAAACCAUUAAAGAUCUGAAAAAAAAGGUCAAAAAGUAUCAGGGCACGUUAAAUAGAAAAUCAGUGCGUAUCGCUUUAAAAACAGCAAAUAUGCUGAGUGUGAAGUGACCAUUCACUAACAUUACAACUAUAUUACAGUUGUA